rnacentral:pre_miRNA from 1 species
CAGCAGCAGGCUCAGGAGGCGGAGCUCAAGGUGUUAUCACCAUGACCUGGACCCUCUCCUGCUCCCCCUCCUCACUCUCUGCACAGGUGC